rnacentral:lncRNA from 1 species
UUCCUGCGAUCUAAAAGUGAUUUAUUUUCUCCGAUUAAGCAUUUAAAGUUUUCUUUAUUAUCAAACACGAUUUUCCUCAGCGGAACGAAGAAAAUCAUUUUCAUGCAUAAAGAGGUGCACAACUCUUCACAUUGUUAUAGGGAAUAACAGCAAAUGGUGUCUCGUAUAGCACCAAGAAGAAUUUUAAUUACAGUGUGAAGGAAAGACACCAUGAAAGCUGCUUGUUUCAUGGUGAAUCAUUUUAAGCUGACAUUUUUAUUCUGAAGUAUAUGCUGUUUCCCAAGCAAUGAAAAUUAAACUUUACAUUAAAAAAUAAAAUGUACCUGUUUAAAAAAAAUUCACACUCUCUACAAAUGAAACUGUGAAACUUGAUUUUCUUGCAUAGCAAAUUUUCUUUCAAACUUUGAAACAGGUAAGAAAACAAAACAAAAAAUGCAAUUCUUCUUUUCCUGGUCUUCUCUUACCCCAACCUGGUCAAACAGUAGGAAGUAAUUACUGAAUAUGUAUGACUACAUCAUGAACCUGAACAUUCCUCUGCAAAUUAAACAUGCAAUCCUACUCUUAAAUGUAUUACUGUGAAAAUGGCACUAAAGAGUUCAAUAUUUAUUGUCAAUUAAGUCGCUUCUACUUGACUUUCUAGAUCAGAAACUAUUUCAAUAAGUGCCAGCUCUAAAGAGUCAAACAAGGGACCAUAAAUCACCAUAAAUAAAACACCCAGUUCUGCUGUUCAUUCCAAAGAUGAGGGACUAGAUGCGACAGGUAAUUUCAAAUACAUACGCAUAUCCAUUAACUGGAGGCCCAGGUAACUGGUUGGAAACAGCACUGAUUAGCAUAGUAUAAAUACUACAAAAGAGGAGAUGUAAUCAAACUUCCUUUCUGACAAGAUAGUAACAUUUAGUAUGAAAACCAAAGGAAAGACCUGUUGAGUAAGCACAUUUGACUGAUGUAGCUGCUCUCAAGAACAGAACUUCACUGUUUGCCCAAGGCAUCCGGGAGUGCAAGGGGCCAACAAAGGCGGGCGCACUCCUUUCCCAAUACAUUUUAGCCAUUCGUGCUUUCAAGACCCAGAAGAAACAUUACAAAUUCAGCUUUUUAUAUUGCCGAGCUGCUGUUGGUCUGUGGAUACUGUAGUGCCAUCCAUUCUCAUUACAUCCCUCAAAUUGUGCAAUCUCUUUCCUGCGACACCAGCCUACCACGACUGUGCACGUUGUUGCCAGUACAUUUCCGGUUUCACUUACAAGGACACCUCAGCAUGUUCCAUAAACCAGAAAUUACCAACAGAAUAAGUAAAAGAAUUUAACC